CUUCAGCUGUGGGCCCACAGACGGUGGGAAUCGGUGAUGACCUCCACCAUGGCCUGGACCCCUCUCCUCACCCUCAUUGUUCUCUGCACAGGAUCCUGGGCCCAGUCUGUGCUGACUCAGCCGGCCUCAGUGUCUGGGAACCUGGGCCAGAGGGUCACCAUCUCCUGCACUGGAAGCAGCUCCAACAUCAGUGAUUAUGAUGUGCACUGGUACCAACAGCUCCUGGGAAUGGCCCCCAAACUCAUCAUCUAUGAUAACAGCAAACGGCCAUCUGGGGUCCCAGAAGGAUUCUCUGGCUCCAAGUCUGUCAACUCGGCCACCCUGACCAUCACUGGGCUCAAGUCUGAGGACGACGCUGAUUAUUACUGUGAGUGCUAUGAUGCCAGCCUGAGUGCUCACACAGUGCUCCAGGCCUGUGGGGAA